UACAAACUACAGGUAGUCAUAACAAUAACAUUAUGACUUAAAAACAAAAACAAACAGAAAUCCUCACAAUUUUACUGGCAAAAAGACUGAGAGACAUAAUAACCUUAAAUACACACCCCUCAAACAUGUACAAUUUCUACAACAACAAUCUACCCUUUUUUUAAAAAAUCUGAAUUGAGAAAUGUAUGCUACAUUACUUUUAGCUAUGUCCCCACCACCACUUUUACUGAAGUUUGCCAGCACAGCUUUAAAUACCUGGUGAAAAUGAUUUUUAUGUAAGGAAUAGGAUGUCAGGUCAUGGACUCAAAAUAAAAAAAUAAAUACAAUCCAUGCUACCUACCCAACAACAUGCUUCCGCUUUUUAAUGAGCAAACUUCACAGACUUUCAAGGGGGUUUGGUUUUCCAUGUGAUUCCAGAGAUUGUGAGAAUCAGGCUUGGAUUUCUGCUUUGUGGCAUGCUUGUGAUUGGUAAAUGUUGCCAUGGAGCCCGGUACAACUACUCUUUCCUCCAAGUCAGACUCUGGGAUUGUAGAACAGCCACCUAUCACAGCAGCA